rnacentral:misc_RNA from 1 species
AAAAAUUUCUCAAGAUAAUGCAAUCCCUACCUGAACCUGAAACAGAAGAUGAUACAAGAAAACAUCAAGCUUCUCUUUAAUGGCAAAUACUAAAAAGUUCCCUCCUUUCUUCUUCUUCUUUGUCCUCUUCUCUUGCUGCUUCUUCUCCACUUCAAGUUCAAAUUUUGCACCAGAGAUAAAAGUGCAGCAAGACAAAGAUGAGCCAUAUGUGGGAGUGAACAUAGGUACAGAUGUUUCCAAUUUGCUUUCACCUGCAGACUUGGUUGCUUUUUUGCAAUUACAGAAGAUAACUCAUAUAAGGCUUUAUGAUG